UGGACAGAAAAUGCCAGCUCAAUGUC
rnacentral:piRNA from 1 species